rnacentral:misc_RNA from 1 species
GUGAAUCAUCGAAUUUUUGAACGCAAAUUGCACUUUCUGGUAUUCCGGAAAGUAUGCCUGUUUGAGGGUCAGUUAGAUAAAAAUCUGUGUUGUUGCUGCUUUUCGUGUUGACUCGUCGAAAGUGAUUUUUUUUACCUUCUGUUAAGUGACUUAAAAUUUUGCAUGAUUUUCGAACUUAUUUAAUUUUCUUACGUACGUUUGUGCUAUCU